GGCUUUCUUCCGGGUCGGCGUAUUUCAGAAAACAUUGUUUACGCGGCCGACCUCCUUCGUGCCUGCCACGUCCGGAAAGCCCCCAUGAUUGUGUUCAAAAUCGACUUUCGGAAGGCUUUCGACUCGGUUAACUGGUCCAGCCUCCUUUCCGUUCUCUCAGCCCGUGGAUUCAACUCCCGGUGGUGCGGUUGGAUCCGAGACAUUCUUUCUACAGGACACACCGCCGUCCUUCUCAACAGUAUCCCUGGGGACUGGAUCCUUUGCCGCAAUGGCCUCCGUCAAGGGGACGCGCUUUCGCCGUACCUUUUUAUUCUUGUCGCCGAUGUCCUCCAGCGUCUUAUUCGCUCGGCUUCCUCGGAUGGGAGGCUUGCUCACCCGAUUGACCCCUCGCUCCCCUGCCCUGUGCUCCAAUACACCGACGACACCCUUAUCCUCUACCGUGCGGACCCCCAGUCGGCGGCGACUCUCAAAACCAUCCUUGACUCUUUCGCCCUUGCUACCGGCCUGGCCAUCAACUUCCACAAGUCUGGGUUUAUUCCCAUGCACUGCCCCGACGAUCUGUCAGCCGCCAUGGCUACUACCCUCGGCUGUCCCAUCUCCUCCUUCCCUCAACCCUACCUGGGUCUCCCCCUCUCCCCCUGGAAACUUCCCAUCUCCGCUUACGACCCUCUUAUCCGCUCCUUUGACCGUUACCUCUCUGGUUGGCGUGCCCUCCUCCUGUCGUCAGGGGGUAGGAUGGUCCUUUGUAAUGCCGUUCUCAACAACCUCCCCACCUACUUCAUGUGCUCGUACUUGCUUCCCUCUGGUGUGAUUGAGUUGAUUGAUCGUAGGCGUCGUGCCUUUUUUUGGACCGGCAAGGAUACUUGCUCCGGUGCGCGUUGUCUAAUUGCUUGGGAUAAAGUGUGUGCAGAUGUGCAGGAAGGCGGCUUCGGGAUCCGGGAUCUCCGUCGGCAGAACAUGUGUCUGCUCCUCAACUUCGUCCACAAGCUUCAUCAACCCGACUGUCCGCCGUGGAAACGGUGGUUUCUCAGCACCACCAGGAGAGAUGUUGGCGACCCCUGCUCGGCUCCUUCUUUCCUUGGGGCCAUCAUUCUCAGCGGCCUCCCGACGUACAGGUCUAUCACCCGCGUGGAUCUCCGCGACGGGCGCGCCACCUCGUUCUGGCACGACCGUUGGCAGCCCGGCCGCGCCCUCUGCUUUGAGUACGCGGCAUUGUACUCUCACUCGACGCGCCCGAACGCCUCGGUGGCAGCAGUGUCCGCCGACGGUCUGCACCUCCAGAGGCGCCUCUCCUCCGUUGCCGCUUCCCAGCUUGCGGCUGUGCAGGCGAUCAUCAGUGACCUUGGGCUUGUGGACGCUCCGGAUCAUCGACUCAUGGCCUGGGGGGAGGACGUGGAGUUCAGCUCGCGCGCCGCGUUCAGGGUCAUGUCCCCCCACGGGGUGCUCUGCCAGUCUUCCAUCGACAUCUGGAGUUCGCGUCUCCCGCGGAAGAUCAAGAUCUUCGCGUGCCUUCUGGUCCGGGACCGCCUUAGUACCCGGAAGAACCUGCAUGCGAAGAGUUGCACCCCCUCCAGCACGUGCGCCUCCUGCCCCAACGAGGAGUCCACUUCUCACAUCUUC
rnacentral:rRNA from 1 species